rnacentral:rRNA from 1 species
UAGGGGAAUUUUCGUCAAUGGGGGCAACCCUGAACGAGCAAUGCCGCGUGAGCGAAGAAGGUCUUCGGAUUGUAAAGCUCUGUUGCCGGGGAAAAAGGAAGGAAAGAGGAAAAU